CCCGCACAAGCGGUGGAGCAUGUGGUUUAAUUCGAUGCAACGCGAAGAACCUUACCUGGGCUUGACAUCCCAAGAAUCCCCUGGAAACAGGGGAGUGCCCUUCGGGGAGCUUGGAGACAGGUGCUGCAUGGCUGUCGUCAGCUCGUGUCGUGAGAUGUUGGGUUAAGUCCCGCAACGAGCGCAACCCUUGCCUUUAGUUGCCAUCAUUCAGUUGGGCACUCUAGAGGGACUGCCGGUGUCAAACCGGAGGAAGGUGGGGAUGACGUCAAAUCAUCAUGCCCCUUAUGACCUGGGCUACACACGUGCUACAAUGGGCGGUACAAAGGGUCGCGAACCCGCGAGGGGGAGCCAAUCCCAAAAAGCCGCUCUCAGUUCGGAUUGCAGGCUGCAACUCGCCUGCAUGAAGCCGGAAUCGCUAGUAAUCGCGGAUCAGCAUGCCGCGGUCGAAUACGUUCCCGGGCCUU
rnacentral:rRNA from 1 species